rnacentral:rRNA from 1 species
AGGAUCAACGCUGGCGGCGUGCCUAAUGCAUGCAAGUCGAACGGGGUACCCUUCGGGGUACUUACGUGGCGGACGGGUGAGGAACACGUGGGCAACCUGCCUGAUGGAGGGGGAUAACCGCUGGAAACAGUGGGUAAUACCGCAUAAUCUUUUCGCACGAGUGGGUGUGGGAAGGAAAGUCGCAAGACGCCGACAGAGGGGCCUGCGUCCGAUUAGCUAGACGGUGGGUAACGCCUACCGUGGCGAUGAUCGGUAGCUGGUUUGAGAGGAUGAUCAGCCACGACGGGGACUGAGACACGGCCCCGACU